GGGUUGGUAGCUCAAUGGUAGAGCAGCGGCCUUUUAAGCCGUUGGUUGAGGGUUCGAGUCCCUCCCGACCCACCA
rnacentral:tRNA from 1 species